rnacentral:rRNA from 1 species
UACGUAGGGUGCAAGCGUUAAUCGGAAUUACUGGGCGUAAAGCGUGCGCAGGCGGUUAUGUAAGACAGAUGUGAAAUCCCCGGGCUUAACCUGGGAACUGCAUUUGUGACUGCAUCGCUGGAGUGCGGCAGAGGGGGAUGGAAUUCCGCGUGUAGCAGUGAAAUGCGUAGAUAUGCGGAGGAACACCGAUGGCGAAGGCAAUCCCCUGGGCCUGCACUGACGCUCAUGCAUGAAAGCGUGGGGAGCAAACAGG